rnacentral:misc_RNA from 1 species
GUGACGCUCGGGCAGCGGCGGAAGCGGCGGCAUCGAGGCCGACCGAGAUGCGUGUGCUUUCUGCGUAGAAUAGCGAAAGCGCCGCUCGGCAGCUGCGACGCCCUCGCGCGCAACAACUGAGAAGCAAAAUAACCGCCGUUGUCGCCACCUCAGGGGCUCCGGCCCGCCUGACACCCGCUUGUGGCCAUGUCCUUGGAGGGAGGAGUUAACGCCAUCGGGUCGACCAACAGCGACAUUCGGUGGGACUACGAAAGCGGCGCUGCGCUGUCGGAGAGCGGCGACGCAGGUGAGCCUCUCAUUCAAGGCAGCGACAGCGGCGCCAUGCGCCGCUCUCUGUGGACCCGCCUCAGGAAGCGAGCCUGGAUCGUGCCGGUGAUUUACACGCACUUCUGGGCGGCUGCCGUCAUUUCGCUCGUGGCACCUUUCUUUCCGCCGCUUGCGGACUCCAGAGGCAUACCAGCAUGGAAAUAUGGCUUCUUUUUCUCAACCAUGAAACUUAUGAUGCUUCCAGGAGCUGUGAUAGCCGAAAAGUUGAUCUCAGAUGUCUCCGCCAAGGCAGGCUACCUAGGUGGACAAGUAACCACAGCGUUAUUCUCUGUCAUGUGCGGCUUUCUCUACUGGGUAAAGGGUGGCAACCUACUGUUCGGCGUCUCCCUGCUGAUGGCAGCUUUCGGCGGCUGUUGUAACACAGUCUACAGCGUUUGCUUGUACACUCUACUUACCUCAAGAUUUCAAGACGACGGCGGUAUGCUCAUAGGCCUGAUGGAAUGCCUCUGGGGAGCGGGCACAUUGGUUGGAUCGUCCGUCGGCGGGGCUCUUAUAGACCUUUGGGCGUUUCCUCUCCCUUUCUUCGUCAUCGGAGGUGUUCUACUUCUGUCAUUGCCAUUCAUGGCACUUAUAAAUCCCAGGAGCUCCAAACAUGACAGCCCAACAAAUGAUAGGGUGCUUCAACAACAAGGUGCGGAGAAGAAAUACUGGCACCUCAUUUUCGAUUUUAUAUUUAUAGUUAACCUUUUUACCGUCACAAUAAGUUGGGCUAUGACCAGCUUCAACGAACCAACAUUGGAACCACAUCUACGUCAGUUUAAGAUGUCAAGCACCGAAGUAGGAACUGUAUUCACAGUCCAGUUCGUUGGAUACUCCAUUGGUUCUUUACUUGGAGGUCUCUUCGCCAAGUUCAAGAUGGAACCAUUCAUGAACUUUUUCGGGAUGUUGCUGUCCACGAUAGCGUACAUCAUACUCGGCCCAAUACCGAUAAUACCAAUUCCACCGUGUUCAUCGGCAUCGGCAUGGCAGUCACAUAUGUCAGCCCCUACAUGCAUGCCCUCAGACAUGUCAUUGAAAAUGCUGGUUACCCCGACAACGAGAAAACCCACGGAGUAGUCACAAGUGCCACAUACCAGUUCAUGGUCUUUGGCGCCGUCGUAACUUCUCCCUUGGCGGGCUUUGUGACCCAGAGGCUGGGCUUUCCAUUUUCUUCCAUGAUUUUCGCCGGUUUUCUGGCUUUUUGGACCAUCGUGACGGGUUUUGUGUGGUUGCACCUAGAUUACUCACUUUUCUGCAAGC